GAAUUAUCUUAAAUUGAAGAUUCCAUCUGAAAUUGCUAAAGAGAACAUAUGAAUAUUUGAUAGAUAAACUUGGAUAUGCAUUUGUAAUCAUUGCAACAGAAAGCUUAUGUCCCACCUGCUGCUUCCUCAAGAGAUAGAGCAGAAGAUAAAAUCAGCUUUUGAUAUCAAAUAUCGUAAUCACUAGUCAUGUUUGAUAUUAUAAGAAUUUGAGUUGAACACAACUAGACAAUAUAAGUAUAAUUCAGGAGUCUUUGAUUAAUCCAAACUGGGUAAAAAUACUCCAAAAUGUUUUGUGAUUAUAUUAAAUAGAAAUCUUUGUUGGUCAAAUGUG